CCUGUAGCGAUCGCUCAGAUAGCAAAAUGUUUUCACCCACAAGCAAGAGUUCAUAUCAGCACACAUUCAAGGAAUUGAGAAAGUCUAUAUGACCUGAAUUGCCGUACAGAUGAUUCACUGUCGCUGGAGACCAGGAGCAAUCCACUGCACAGGAAGAGACGAAGUGGAGUUAGAGUUAAAGAAUCAGCAUGCUCGGGAGUGUGAGGAUGUCAGCACAGGACGAGAGAGAAACCUCAUUGGUAAGACCACGCUCUUCAAAAAGGGGAGUGAAUAGAAGAUAUCAUUGAGAGGAGGAGAGAGGAAACCGGAGGGAGGACGAGAGGAAGAGAGAGAAAUGGAACAGGUGAAUGAAUGCCAGAGAAAGAAUAGGAAGCACAAGAGGAUAAAAUAAAAUAAAUAAAACCAGAAGACAAACAAACAGUGAGUCUCAUUUACUAGAAAUAAGACGAGAAUAAGAUUAAUUUAUUACACAAAUUAAAAUUAAUUAAAAAACAAAUAAAUAAAACGGACAAUCCGUGACUAUGGGUUAGCUGGAGAUUCUGUUUUCAAUUCAGUAUAGCUUGGUAAAGGA